rnacentral:rRNA from 1 species
CCUUUGGAGGGUUUGAUCCUGGCUCAGAGUGAACGCUGGCGGCGUGGAUUAGGCAUGCAAGUCGAGCGAUCGAAAUUUUGAAGCAAUUGAAGUCUUCGGACUGAUUUUGUGGAUGAAUUUCUGAUAGCGGCAAACGGGUGAGUAACACGUGGGUAAUCUGCCCUAGAGAGGAGGAUAGCUUCGAGAAAUCGGAGGUAAUACUCCAUACAGUUUCAGCAUUAAUUUGUUGAAAUCAAAGAUGGCUUAGGACUUCGGUCCGCUGUCGCUUUAGGAGGGGCCCGCGGCCUAUCAGGUAGUUGGUAGAGUAAUAGCCUACCAAGCCAGAGACGGGUAGCUGGCAUUAGCGUGUGGUCAGCCACAUCGGGACUGAGACACUGCCCGGACUCCUACGGGAGGCUGCAGUCGAGAAUCUUUCCCAAUGGGCGAAAGCCUGAGGAUGCGACGCCGCGUGGAGGAUGAAGGC